CAAUAGCGUAUAUUUAAGUUGCUGCAGUUAAAAAGCUCGUAGUUGGAUUUCGGGUGGGAAUGGCCGGUCCGCCGUUUCGGUGUGCACUUGCUACGCCCACCUUGCUGCCGGGGACGUGCUCUUGAGUUCACGCUCGGGACACGGAGUCGGCGAGGUUACUUUGAGUAAAUUAGAGUGUUCAAGGCAGGCCGUCGCCUGAAUACAUUAGCAUGGAAUAAUGGAAGAGGACCUCGGUCCUAUUUUGUUGGUUUCUAGGGCCGAAGUAAUGAUUAAGAGGGACAGUUGGGGGCAUUCGUAUUUAAUUGUCAGAGGUGAAAUUCUUGGAUUUAUGAAAGACGAACUAGUGCGAAAGCAUUUGCCAAGGAUGUUUUCAUUAA
rnacentral:rRNA from 1 species